GCAGGUUGGCCUCCCUUCCGCAUGUCCUCAGAGUCUGUCGGCUGCUACUUUGGGCCAGAAGCCUCUUCAAUCUGUAACGGGUGCAUUUACAAAUAUACAC